CAAUAGCGUAUAUUAAAGUUGUUGCAGUUAAAAGCUCGUAGUCGGAUUUCGGGUCGGGCCGAGCGGUCUGCCGAUGGGUAUGCACUGUUUGGCGCGGCCUUCUUUCCGGAGACCGCGGCUACUCUUAACUGAGCGGGCGUGGGAGACGGAUCGUUUACUUUGAAAAAUCAGAGUGUUCAAAGCAGGCAACCGCUCUGAAUACAUUAGCAUGGAAUAACGCUAUAGGAUUCUGGUCAUAUUGUGUUGGUCUUCGGGACCGGAGUAAUGAUUAAGAGGGACAGUUGGGGCGAUUCGUAUUUCAUUGUCAGAGGUGAAAUUCUUGGAUUUAUGAAAGACGAACUUCUGCGAAAGCAUUUGCCAAGGAUGUUUUCAUUAAUCAAGAACGAAAGUUGGGGCGUCGAAGACGAUUAGAUACCG
rnacentral:rRNA from 1 species